AGUGGAGGCACUAGUUCUGGCACGGUCGAGUGGCAGCAGAGAAACGUUCAACUCCAGCAUGCAGUUUUCACAUGAUGUGUUACAUUCCUGUCUCCGUGUGGAGUCUACUGCAGCUGAUCCACCAUGAACAGGUAGCUUGGCCGGAUCUGGAUUGAAGCUCGUGUUCUUGCCAGUGAAGGACGACGUAUUUCAUCGUAAUGAAAGGUUUGUGGUCCUAAUGUCCCACUCUGCAUUGACUAUAUGCACGAAGAGGAGGCUCAGAGAAAAGAUGUAACAGCAGAAAAGCGUGACAAUGAAGAGUCACAUGGGUCCUGAGAUAACAUGAACCAGGUAAAGUUGGUGGAGAAACACAAUCAAUACCAGCCUGGGACUGAAUCAAUCUUGAUGCAACGUGAAAAUAUAAAGUGCAGCACAUUUGUUUGUAUGCAAAUUGAAAACCAUGUUUAAUAAAACUAAAAUGCAUAAAAUUCAAGCAUAAUGACACAUUCAAGUACUCAACAUAAUAAGAGGAGCAUGUAUCCUAUUGAAUGUGCCCAGCACCAUUGGUCAAUCUGUGUUGAAAGAUGACCUGUAGGAUUUCUUCUUUAAAUUUUCGAGAAAGAUCUGCUCUUCUUGGAGGUAUUCAUGGUCCUGUGGGCAGAUAAAGAAUUGAGUUAUCUUGGUUAGAAAUUUGAAAUGUUUUCAAAUUGCAUCUACUGAUACAGGUUUCUGUUGCAGGUUUAAGUGUGUUGAAAAACUAAUUGUGAGUGAGCCACAACACUUAACUGUAAUAACCUGUUUUAACUUAAUAUUUACAAUAAAAGCCUAUGCA